CACCGCCAGUGCUCCUGGGUCAGAUGGAGGCACUCACCUCAGGAUAGGCCCAGGCGAUGGCACUCGUGGAUGUUGCCCAGUGGCCCAACCUCCUGCCGCAGAGCUGGGACUCACUGGAGGCUCCCAGAGCCCUCGGGAUCCUUCAUCAUCAUUGUAAGCUCGAGGUUCUCCAACCCCCAGCUUCAAGGCUCCACUAAGAGAUGGUUUGUGGGUGAGUGGAAGACACAGCCGCGGCUUCUGGGAGGCUUGUGGCAGGACCUCAGCCGUGUGGCUAGACCUGAGGCCGGGCUGCACGAGUUUCCCCGCAGGAAAGCUGGGCCCCUGGGAGCCGAGAGCAAAGAAUGUGCAUAACGAGGAACAUCUGUGGAGCGUCCCGGGCACAAGAAUGAGCCUGUAUCAACUCACCAGAUGCUGAUAACUGCGUGAUGAGGGAAGAGGUCUCUUCUCUGGCAUCUGCUGUAGAGAAUCUGACAGACAGACUCAGUCCACAUGGAGCCUGCACUCUGAUGAAGGAGCCAGCAAGUAAACCAAGGAGAUACUUUUGGAUGUCGCUGCUUGUCGCUCUAGACCCAUCGCCACUGUCUCCUCGCUUGGAAGACCUUCACUCUCCCACUGAUGUCGCAUUUCCUCCCCACUGUCUAAAACGCAUCUCAAAUUAUCCAGCCUGCUGGGAUCUGUCUCCUCCACCAAACUUCUUCACUACUUACUUAGUGGUGCUAUGUAUUUUAUUUUUCACCAUGGAGUCACAUUUGUCCUAGGAAAGCGUUAAGCACCUAUAUUAGUCACCUAGGAUGUGCCAGGUUCCACGCUACAGAGUGAGGCCCGCUGAUUAAACGUCACAACCCUACAGAUUUGUUAUGGCCAUUUUACAUAUGAGGAAACUGAAGCUCAGAGAAGUAAAAAGACUGACUCAAGGUCACAUAGAGUUGAAGCCCAGGUCAGCCUGCCUGCGGACUCUACUGCAGGAAUCAGGUCUCAGUCCCAUAGCCCUAUGACACCCUGAUGACACCAUCCCUGAUGGCCUGGGGCAGCCCUGACUUCAGUCCUCCCCAUAACGUCCAAAGCUUUGUUCUUAAAACCUACUGUUCACCCCCUGAGCCCUGUGCUAGCAGAGUAGUGUGGUUUAGAAAAAAGAUGGGGUGUGGAUUUUGUGGGUGCCCGCCACCUUGCUCAUCUCACAAAGGGGAAAGGAAGGGUCUGUGCAUGGAAGAAAUGCAGGCUGAGAGAGGAGUGGGUGGGAGGAGGGGGCGGCCCCUGGGCUCUGCCUGUGCUGACGAAUCCUCCCAGCAUGUUUUGACACGUCUGGCUCGGAGGAGGGUGUAAUUAUUUUCAGUAAGGGUUUCCUAACCUAUCAUUAAUGGAUCGUUUCCCGCCUGCUGCAGAAGGCGGUUGCUGAGAGACUGGGUGAAGGGGCACAUUCUCUAAAUGUGCAUGAGAAUCUAGAGGAAGCUGGAUGGUGGCCCAGCCACCACAUCAGCCCACCCUGCUCCCCAGCCCCCUCCUCACCACAGCAGACUCCCAGGAGCCAAGCAUUCCCUGCCCAGCAUUCGGGGAAUGAGAAAUGCUGGAGCUUUCUUUGUACCUUUAUGCAGGCUGGAUUAUCCCAGCCCACUGAGGCUGGGUUACUUUUCUCCAGUGGUGAUGGUGUCCACGCUGCAGUAGUGUGAGGCAUGUGUCACCUCCUGCUGGAGGCUUCAGUGACCUUUUGAGAGGACUGGUAGAAACACCAAACACCAGCUCCUUCAUCUGGGCAACUUUUGGUAAACUGCUUAUCCUCUCUGAGUUCAGUUCUCUGUCCGUAAGAUGGAGAUAGUAAGGGUGGAGGGAUGGGUGUAGAAAAGUUGGUUAAGGGACCAGGUGCAGUGGCUCAUACCUGUAAUCUCAGCACUAUGGGAGGCCAAGGUGGACGGAUCACUUGUGAUCGGGAGUCCAAGACCAACCUGGCCAACAUGGUGAAACUCUGACUCUACUAAAAAUACAAAAAUUAGCCAGGCAUGGUGGCAGACGGCUGUAAUCCCAGCUAUUCAGGAGGCUGAGGCAGGAGAAUUGCUUGAACCAGGGAGGCUGAGGUUGCAGUGAGCUGACAUCAUGCCACUGCACUCCAGACUGGGUGACCAAGUGAGACUCUGUCUCAAAAAAAACAAAGGUCAGGUGCGGUGGCUCACGCCUGUAAUCCUAGCACUUUGAGAGGCCGAGGCAGGCAGAUCACUUGAGGUCAGGAGUUCAAAACCAGCCUGGCCAAUGUGGUGAAACCUGGUCUCCACUAAAAAAUAGGGAAAAAAAAGCUGGGCGUGGUGGUGGACGCCUAUAAUCCCAGCUACCUAGGAAGCUAAGAGAGGAGAACCACUUGAACCCGGGAGGCGGAGGUUGCAGUGAGCCGAGAUCGCGCCACUGCACUCCUGCCUGAGCAACAUAGCAAGACUCCAUCUCAAAAAAAAAAAGGGGUUGGUUCAUGGGUAGAAACAUGCAGUCAGAUGGAAUAAGCUCUCGGGUUUGAUAGCACAGUAGAGUGACUUCAGUUAAUGAUAACUUAUUGUAUGUUUUUAAAUAGCUAGAAGAGAAGAUUUGAAACAUUCCCAACACAAAGAAAUGAGAAAUGUUGGAGGUAACAGCUAUGCUCAUUGCGCUGAUGUGAUCAUUACACAUUGUAUGCAUAUAUCAAAAGACAGCACAUGGAGACCAAAAUACAUACAAUUAUUAUGCAGCGAAAAGAAAUUAAAUGACCAAACUUACCCUAAAAAUCAUGAACUGUAACAGUAAAAAAAUACAUUAAUUAGAAAGAUAAAAAGCAAAAACAAUUAUUUUUAGGAGAAAAAAAAUGGAGAUGGUGCUGUGUAAUUCCGAGAGAAUUAGAGCUAAUGUUUGAAAAGGAGUCAGAUUUGGUUCAAUUCAUUCACUUCAGAGAACAAAAAGAAAAAAAGAAAAAAAUGAAAAGGAGUCAGAAUAAAAUGUGCUCAAGAAAUGGUAGUUAUUGCUGU
rnacentral:lncRNA from 13 species